ACGAGUUUGAUCAUGGCUCAGGAUGAACGCUGGCGGCGUGCCUAAUACAUGCAAGUCGAACGAGGUGCUUUUGUAGCAAUACGAAAGUAUCCUAGUGGCGAACGGGUGAGUAACGCGUUGGUGACCUACCCCAAAGUGUGGGAUAACAGUUCGAAAGAACUGCUAAUACCGCAUGUGGUUAUCGGGUUUAGAAACUGAUAACUAAAGGAGCAAUUCGCUUUGGGAGGGACCUGCGUCCCAUCAGCUAGUUGGUGAGGUAACGGCUCACCAAGGCUACGACGGGUAGCUGGUCUGAGAGGAUGAUCAGCCACACUGGCACUGAGAUACGGGCCAGACUCCUACGGGAGGCAGCAGUGAGGAAUAUUGCGCAAUGGGCGAAAGCCUGACGCAGCGACGCCGCGUGGGGAUGAAGGUUUUCGGAUUGUAAACCCCUUUCAUGAGGAAAGAUAAAGUGGGUAACCACUUAGACGGUACCUCAAGAAGAAGCCACGGCUAACUUCGUG
rnacentral:rRNA from 1 species